GACGAACGCUGGCGGCGUGCUUAACACAUGCAAGUCGAGCGGACACAGCAGGACUUGCUCUCCCUGACCAGUGGCGAACGGGUGAGUAACACGUGAGUAACAUGCCCCUAACUUCGGGAUAACACCGGGAAAUCGUGGAUAAUACAGGGUAUGAGACCUUACUGCAUGGGCGGGUAUAGUAAGAUUUGGCGGUGGGGGCUGGAAUCGCGGCCUAUCAGCCUGUUUGUGAGGUAGCGGAUCACCAGGGCGACGACGGGUAGCCGGCCUGGGAGGGCGACCGGCCACACUGGGACUGAGAUACGGCCCAGACUCCUACGUGAGGCAGCAGUGGGGAAUAUUGCACAAUGGGCGCAAGCCUGAUGCAGCGGCGCCGCGUGCGUGAUGCAGUCCUUCGGGUUGUAAACCUCUGUCAGCAGGGAAGAAGCGAAAGUGACGGUACCUGCAGAAGAAGCGCCGGCUAACUACGUG
rnacentral:rRNA from 1 species